GGAGUAGGAGUUGGGAGGACUUAAAGAGUUUGACACCAGAGGAACCUUUACCUGACUUUAACAGCCUAUUUUACAUGCCUGCCUUUAGAAAUGCUUUGUUUAAUCUAUUGUAAUUGCCUUUUAACAUUGGCUGCCAAGUGUGAGAGGAGGCUCUGGGGCCCGUGGACCUAGAGCUGCUGACUGGGAGGCUGCUGCAGAGCUUGGUGGCUGUGCUGCUCAGUGGAAACAAUGCAGCCACAGAUAAUGUGUUAAUGUGAGUUGUGUGAAUACAAUUAUCCUUCAUCACUUGGUGUUGAGUCGAGUACAUUACACCGAUGGUGAAGACAGAGCAUCAGUGCUGCUUUUACUUUGUAUACAUUACGUUUACAUCAUACUUUAAUAAUGCUAAAGCAAGUAUUAUUUCAGUAUUUUAAUAGUGUUUUUACUGUUACAGAAAAUCUUAAAGGACAACUUUUUUACCAUGUUUAAGUUUUUAUGUUUUCUCAGGUUUAGGUAAGACUUUUGAUGCUGUUUUUUUAUGCACAUACACACAUUCCCUGUGUCAAAAUUCAUGUUCAUUCAGUCAAAUCCUCCUUUUUUAUUUAUCCUUUCUCCUUUUAUUAAAUUCACUUCAGUGUCUGGCAAUUAGCACCUCUUAAUGUCAGCACGGUUUUAUCUCCUAGGAAAAAGCUAGAUCCAGGACUCUGAGCUCAGGACUGUGUGGGAGCCGAAGCGCUUGGAAAAUGACACGGAGUGCCACAAAAAACAGAGAAAAUCAAUUGGUCAAAACAGAUUCAUGCUACCGAUGUGUGACCACAGGCGGACAAAAACGUCAUCCCCCAAACCUGACCUUUCACAGGGAGGAGAGCGUGAGCUGUGCACGGCACGGAGACGGGAGCGAUAGCUUUUUAAUGUAAUGGCUUGUAAUGGAGCUACCAAUGAGUAACUAAUGACUCAUUGUGGUCUAUGAAUGGUCUGUGAAAACACCCCUGAGAUCGCUGGAGGUGACACACACUAUACUUGGUGCAUUACAAGAGCAAAAAUGCAGGUUGUUUGUAAUGGAUCAUUACUGCAGUAAUGCCACCAGAUAAUGGAACAGCUAUCAUCACUCGCAACACCUGUAGACAGACAGACAGACAGA
rnacentral:lncRNA from 1 species